CAGCCGCCGCGGUAAUACGGAGGGUGCAAGCGUUAAUCGGAAUUACUGGGCGUAAAGCGCGCGUAGGUGGCUUGAUAAGCCGGUUGUGAAAGCCCCGGGCUCAACCUGGGAACGGCAUCCGGAACUGUCAAGCUAGAGUGCAGGAGAGGAAGGUAGAAUUCCCGGUGUAGCGGUGAAAUGCGUAGAGAUCGGGAGGAAUACCAGUGGCGAAGGCGGCYUUYUGGACUGGACACUGACACUGAGGUGCGAAAGCGUGGGUAGCAAACAGGAUUAGAUACCCUGGUAGUCCACGCCGUAAACGAUGUCGACCAGCCGUUGGGUGCCUAACGCACUUUGUGGCGAAGUUAACGCGAUAAGUCGACCGCCUGGGGAGUACGGCCGCAAGGUUAAAACUCAAAUGAAUUGACGGGGGCCCGCACGAGCGGUGGAGCAUGUGGUUUAAUUCGAUGCAACGCGAAGAACCUUACCUACUCUUGACAUCCUGCGAAUUUGGUAGAGAUACCUUAGUGCCUUCGGGAACGCAGAGACAGGUGCUGCAUGGCUGUCGUCAGCUCGUGUUGUGAAAUGUUGGGUUAAGUCCCGUAACGAGCGCAACCCUUGUCCUUAUUUGCCAGCGCGUAAUGGCGGGAACUCUAAGGAGACUGCCGGUGACAAACCGGAGGAAGGUGGGGACGACGUCAAGUCAUCAUGGCCCUUACGAGUAGGGCUACACACGUGCUACAAUGGUCGGUACAAAGGGUUGCCAACUCGCGAGAGUGAGCCAAUCCCGAAAAGCCGAUCUCAGUCCGGAUCGGAGUCUGCAACUCGACUCCGUGAAGUCGGAAUCGCUAGUAAUCGUGGAUCAGAAUGCCACGGUGAAUACGUUCCCGGGCCUUGUACACACCGCCCGUCACACCAUGGGAGUGGACUGCACCAGAAGUGGUUAGCCUAACGCAA
rnacentral:rRNA from 1 species